rnacentral:rRNA from 1 species
CCUACGGGAGGCAGCAGUGGGGAAUAUUGCACAAUGGGGGAAACCCUGAUGCAGCGACGCCGCGUGAGUGAAGAAGUACUUCGUUAUGUAAAGCUCUAUCAGCAGGGAAGAAAAUGACGGUACCUGAGUAAUAAGCCCCGGCUCACUACGUGCCAGCAGCCGCGGUAAUACGUAGGGAGCAAGCGUUAUCCGGAUUUACUGGGUGUAAAGGGAGCGUAGACGGCAUUGCAAGUCUGGAGUGAAAGGCGGGGGCGCAACCCCCGGACUGCUCUUGAAACUGUACGGCUGGAGUGCAGGAGAGGUAAGUGGAAUUCCGAGUGUAGCGGUGAAAUGCGUAGAUAUUAGGAGGAACACCAGUGGCGAAGGCGGCUUACUGGACUGUAACUGACGUUGAGGCUCGAAAGCGUGGGGAGCAAACAGGAUUAGAUACCCGUGUAGUC